CAGUAGGGAGGAAGGUAGUGUAGUUAACACCUGCAUAUUUGACGUUACCUACAGAAGAAGCACCGGCUAACUCCGUGCCAGCAGCCGCGGUAAUACGGAGGGUGCGAGCGUUAAUCGGAAUUACUGGGCGUAAAGCGCAUGCAGGCGGCCUGUUAAGUCAGAUGUGAAAGACCCGGGGCGUUAACCUCGGAAUUGCAUUUGUAAACUAGGCAGGCUAGAGUCUUGUAGAGGGGGGUAGGAAGUUUCAGGUGUAGCGGUGAAAUAGCGUAGAGAUCUGAAGGAAUACCAGUGGCGAAGGCGGCCCCCUCGGACAAAGACUGACGCUCAGAUGCGAAAGCGUGGGGAGCAAACAGGAUUAGAUACCCUGGUAG
rnacentral:rRNA from 1 species